UUAAUUGAAGCCAAAAUAGAGGCUUUUCAUUGUUAAUGAACCAACUGAUUAUAAUUAAUCCAAUUAAA
rnacentral:tRNA from 1 species